AACGAACGCUGGCGGCAGGCUUAACACAUGCAAGUCGAACGCCCCGCAAGGGGAGUGGCAGACGGGUGAGUAACGCGUGGGAACAUACCCUUUCCUGCGGAAUAGCUCCGGGAAACUGGAAUUAAUACCGCAUACGCCCUACGGGGGAAAGAUUUAUCGGGGAAGGAUUGGCCCGCGUUGGAUUAGCUAGUUGGUGGGGUAAAGGCCUACCAAGGCGACGAUCCAUAGCUGGUCUGAGAGGAUGAUCAGCCACAUUGGGACUGAGACACGGCCCAAACUCCUACGGGAGGCAGCAGUGGGGAAUAUUGGACAAUGGGCGCAAGCCUGAUCCAGCCAUGCCGCGUGAGUGAUGAAGGCCUUAGGGUUGUAAAGCUCUUUCACCGAUGAAGAUAAUGACGGUAGUCGGAGAAGAAGCCCCGGCUAACUUCG
rnacentral:rRNA from 1 species